rnacentral:rRNA from 1 species
GUGUCAGCAGCCGCGGUAAUACGAAGGGUGCGAGCGUUAAUCGGAAUUACUGGGCGUAAAGAGCACGUAGGCGGUUUGGUAAGCGGAAUGUGAAAUCCCCGGGCUUAACCUGGGAACUGCAUUCCGAACUGCCAAGCUAGAGUGUGGUAGAGGUGAGUGGAAUUUCCUGUGUAGCGGUGAAAUGCGUAGAUAUAGGAAGGAACAUCAGUUGCGAAGGCGGCUCACUGGACCAACACUGACGCUGAGGUGCGAAAGCGUGGGUAGCGAACAGGAUUAGAUACCCCAGUAGUCC